UACGAAGGGGGCUAGCGUUGCUCGGAAUCACUGGGCGUAAAGGGUGCGUAGGCGGAUCUUUAAGUCAGGGGUGAAAUCCUGGAGCUCAACUCCAGAACUGCCUUUGAUACUGGGGAUCUCGAGUCCGGGAGAGGUGAGUGGAACUGCGAGUGUAGAGGUGAAAUUCGUAGAUAUUCGCAAGAACACCAGUGGCGAAGGCGGCUCACUGGCCCGGAACUGACGCUGAGGUGCGAAAGCGUGGGGAGCAAACAGG
rnacentral:rRNA from 1 species